CCUGGAGAAUCCCAGGGACAGGGGAGCCUGGUGGGCUGCCGUCUAUGGGGUCGCACAGAGUCGAACACAACUGAAGCGACUUAGCAGCAGCAACAGCAUGAAUGUUCAUAGCAGCAUUUUUCAUAACCCCAAAGUGAAAAUAACCCAGAUGUCCAACACCUUAUGCAUGGAUCAACACAAUGUGAUAUAUCCGUACAAUGGACUGUUGUUCAGCCAUAAGAAGGGAUGAAGUACUGAUGCACGCUAAGACAUGGAUGAACCUUGAAAUAUUAUGCUAAGUGAAAAAAGCCAGACAGAAAAGCCAUAUACAGCAUCAUUCCGCUUAUGUAUAAUGUACACAAUAGGCAAAUCCAUAGACACUGAUAAUAAAUUCGUUGUUGCCAGGAGCUGGGGAAGAGAGUAUUAGGGAGUUCCUGCUAAUGGGUAUGGCAUUCUUUUUGGGAUCAUGAUGAUGUUCUGGAAAUAAAUAAUGGUAAUGGUCACUCAACUCUGAAUAUACUAAAAACCAGCUGAAUCAGACACUUUAAAAGAAUGGAUUGGUGGUAUGUAAAUUAAAUCUCAAAGCUGUUACAAAAGGGAGGGGGGAGAUAGUGACUAGUCCUAAUUGCUAAUCAGCAAACAAUGGUACAGCUGGGAAAAAUGGCCCAGCCUGUGUUGCUGCCUGGGUUGAUGAUGGUAAUAAUACUAUGUACACUCUGUUCAAUGCUUUAUUUGCAUCUCUAGUUUUCACCAUCCUAACUUUACAUAUGAAGAAGCUAAGACCCUGAGUUGAAUCAGGAUUGCAACACAGGCAUUUCUGAAUUUACUGACUGUUUUGCCGCUAUGAUAUCAUCUCAAAGUUAGCGACAGAACCUCCCUUGAUGGAUACACAGUUUACCCUUCAAUAACGAUGUGGAGAACUGUACCGAUUCAGUUACACUUGGAUUUUUUUCAAUACUAGAUACUCAGGACUACACAAUCUGUGGUUGGUUGACACUAUGAAUGAUGAUAUGGAUAAGGGGAACUGAUUUUAAAUUAUUUGUGGACUUUUGACUGUGAGCAGGGUCAGUGCCCCUAACACCCACCUUGUUUAAGGAUUAACUCUGUUUGCUUCACGUUACAUUGCUUUCUGACAAUGUGAGCGUGGAUGUGUGGCAUGUCUACUCGUGCAUCUCCAAUACUGAAACACCAGCUACUCACGUAUGAGAUGGUCCAUUAUUGUAAGGAAACUGAAGAGGGAGGCAAGUAAAGGAUGAAAGAUGUGUUAGAGAUGUUACAGUAGGCACUCUAAACUGAGUCAAUGGAGAAAUUCUUGGUUGUAAAAUUCAUUCCAUAGUUUAGUACCUAAAAGUGCUUUGAAGAUUGAUUGGUAAACUUGAUCAAACUGACAAAAUACUGAUGUCAGUAAUGAGCAGAUGGUCUUAAAGAAAGAGACAUUUGGAGCUGAAGAGACAGCUCUGCUCCGGUGCACAGUCAACAGCACAGCCUGUAUUUGCUUAGGUUGAGAAGGACUGAACCUGUGGUCCUUAGAGGUCAUGUAGACGAGGGCAGGAGGACAGUGGGGUCUUGUCUGAGAUAUUAGGCUUAUUUCUGUUGUCAGGUGUGUGUGUGUGUGUGUGUUUUGUGCUUUACUUUCUGGUGGAAGCCUGGGGGAGCUUUGAGGAAAUUAUAAUCUGACCCUUAAAACUUGAGGGAAAAUAGAGGCUAAGAAAAAAAUUUUUUCCCACAUCUAUGAGGAAGUGAAUUUAUGUGAGAGAGAAUUUAGUCUUAUCACACUCAUUAUUAUUUCCAUUAUGGGAAAGCAUUUGUUAGUGUGAUUAGGGUUGAAACUAUGGGAAAAUCGAGUGAACUGGGAAGAUCAUGGACAUUACUUGAAAGGACCUGUCUUUGUAUUCUACCAUGGCUACUUCCCAUGUGACUUUUAUCAGUUCUUUCACCACAAAGGCGAAUACCUACCUGAUGUGGUAGAGGGAAGAAUUAAGAGAAAUGCUAUGUGAAGUGUGCAGUCCACACUGGGCAGUUCACUAAGUGGUAGUUAUUAGAAUGAAGAAGCCUGUUAAAGCAAUUUCAAUGAAAGUUUGGCAGAAUUUGCCUUCCCCAAUACAUAUUGAGAUCACGCCAUAUGAAGCAAAUUUUUCCUUUCAUUGUAUACUUGCCCCGGUUUUUCUUAAAUUUUUUAACCUCAUCAUUAACUUUUGAAGAAUUUAUAUAUAAAAAUUUCUUAAGCAGAUGCCAUGAGUUUAAUUUUCCAUGCUUCCAUAGUAAUUUAUGAAACAUUUUCAAAAGUUAAUAGGGGAAAAUUUCAUGUAGACCCCCAAAUGUAAAAAGCAUAUGAAGAGAAAAAAGUGAAACAUUCAAGUUAAUGAUCCAUCAUUUGAGAAACCAUGCUUCUUUUUCCAGAUUAAUUGGUAGAACCUAAAAACUUUAAAGAGUAGUCAAAAUAAGUAUUUCUGUUGUUAUAGCAGAAGUACAUACUUUACCUCCUUCCAUUGUUUUGAGGAUUAGUUAAUGGGUAGUUACCUGUUGAAAUUAUAUAUAUUCCAUUUCUCUUGACUGAAGGGAGACAAGAAAUCCAUUUAAAAACACGUUUAAAGUUUGGUUUGGUUGGUCAUUCUCCAAUAAGGCUUGUUUCCAGAGUUGGCCUGAAAUCAGCGUCCUUUGGAGAAACAGUGGGGUCUAUUAGUUGGAAGCCAUGGAAUGCUUUCCCCCAUAUUGUUCAGCCAAAUCUGAGCUAUUAACAUUUAGCCUCAACUGCUUCCAUUUGGUAAGUACGACCUGGUGUUAGACUAAUGCCCUCCUUCAUCUUCAACACAGUAAAAAUGAUGAUCAGAACGGAACAUGAGGCAUUGAUUGCCCUGUACCUGGGCAGACAAGGAAUCAGACCCACUUGGCCACCAAUAAUAAGAAAAUUGAUAUCUCUUUUAAGACUUUAAGUCUUCAGAAGCAUUGAUUUUUCUAUUGGAAGUUAGGAAAGUGUCUCACAGUCAACAAUGUGUGCAUGGGUGCUGGGAGCUUCUGUGGAAAAGAGCAGAGGACUUACGUAUCCCUUCUGUUUUAGUUGCUAUCAUCAGCAGAUUUACAAUAACUUUAGUUUUUAUUUUAUGCCUUAUUUUGUUUGAGGAGUGAUUACAGACAAGGUUGGCAAUGCUGAAUUAAAAGAGAUGUACCCUCUGCUCCAAGCAUUGUGCAAGUUUCCGCCUUCUGAGUCCUCUGUCUCCUUGUUCUGCAUUUUCUCUUAGAUUUCUUUCCUUUGUUUCUGAGAUCCCGGUAUUGUGACCUAAUAGAACGCAGGAUUAUUCGGAGAUGAAAUGUGAGCCCAGCAUUUAAAUGCCUCAAGACCAGUGACCUCUGUGUCAUGUUCAUCACCGUAUCUUCAGUUCCUUGAAAGGUGUCAAGCACAUGUUCAGCAUCUAUCAAAAUUUGUCUGACUUUUGGAGUCAUUUUUAUCUUUGGGAGGGAGGAGGUCAAAGGAAGAUGUUUGAGGAUCUCUGAGAUUGUUUUCUCAUCUAAAAUUAGGUGAUUCUCCUUUACUGUUUAUACUGCUCCUUAAGAGACCAAGAGAACAUAUAAGUUUCCAUAAGCAGUCACAACAAUAGUGGAGCACGCUUUUGGGAAAUUUAGCGUUCUAUUGAGUAGGAUGCUAUUCUUCACUUCUAUAGAAAAAUGAUAGUGAUUUGAUAGUUGAUUUUCAUGAUAAUGAUAUUGAGAAGACAUCACAUCUGCAAAUGACUUCUAAAUCAUUAAAAGGAUUAAAUUAUGUACAUUAAAUUAUAUUUGAUUUUAUUACAUGAUUAUUGUAUGGCUUAUCUCAGGAUAUUAAAUAUAAUGCCCUGUGCUAUACAGUAGAACCUUGUUUAUUAUUAAUAUCUUAAAGGCAACUCAGUUUGGCACAAAUUAAAGCAUGAGGUUACUACUUACUGUUUAUCUGCUGACAAAUAUUCUGUUCCUCAAAACAUAUAGUCUGAUACAACUAUUUGUUCCAUUUUAUUCAUUGAAACUCUAUGGUUAUAACUCUUCUCACUUGUCCAGGGUUCUUACAAAUACUAGGAGUGCUAGAUUUGAUUUUUGAUCUUCAAAUGUGGUGGAACUUUUUGGUCUUGGGUGGCAAUAUACAGUAAAAUAUGAUAGAAAAGACACAACACUUCCAGUCCCAGUAGUUGGGCGUGAAUCUUGUCACCCACUUAGCUGGCCUUAGGUUAAUUGCUCCUGAAGAUUCUUCAUCUAGAAUUUAGGACUGUGAUGUUGCCCACGUCAGAGGAUCUUCUGAGGGUUAUGUGAAUUAUGUGCUGAGCGCUUUAUACAUUAUUACGUUGCUUAGUUCUCUUUAAAUAGGGGCCCCUCUACCCCUCAAGCUGGGGAUAGCUGCCCCUCAAGCUGGGGUAGCUGAGGUUUGAUAAGAUGGAGCUGGCACCAGCUGAGGACCCAACCCCAGUUCUGUGGUUCAUAAGAUAGGUUUCAAACUUUGCUGGGCUUCCUUAAUGUGGAAGGACUUAAUCAGUUAGUGCCAUUGUCCCCUCAACUACAGCAUUACAUGCUUUACUGAAGUAGUUGGAUUAAAAGAGAUACCGCUGUAGAUGUACUUGCUUCCCUCCUCCUCUUCAGUCAUCAAUGAUUUUAGUUAUAAAUCAUUUAUAGAUAACCUAGUUGUGCUCUUUUUUUCCAGAUUAAAGAUGUAUGUACAUGUGAGGGGUUUCUCUGUAUAUAAAAGUGUUGGUAUACAUAAGGCUAGUAGAGUGAGGCUUGCCAUUUAUGAGAUUAUCUCCUUAUACUGUUCACCUCUGGACAAGCCUCUCUGUAAGAGUCAUGCUCCACAACACUGAAGACUAGCGCCACUUCAGUACCUUCAACUUGGGAUUCCCUCCUACAGCAACCUUGGAUGUUUUAUCUGGAUCUAACCAUUGAUGCAUUGGUCUGUACCUUAGCCGUUGCUUGAAGUUGGCAUGUACAUUAAAAAUUAUUCACCAAUGGAAAAUUUAAAGUUUCCAGAUAUAAGUGAGUGUGUGGGUAAAAUGUUUGGGGAAUUGUUAUUCAUUCAUGAAUCACCUUGUUACUUAAAAUCUUGAGUUUGGUUACCUGUGAAGCAUAUUAAAUUGGUUGUUUACUUAACCGUUGGCAAGAACUCUUUCAGAAAAGUGGAAUUUUCAAGGAACUUUUUUAUUCACUCUCAAUUCAAAGAAGAUAUUGAUUAUCUGCAUCUACUCUGCAGGAUAAUCCUUUGAUAUUAUAUAAAGGGCUUUUACAAACC